rnacentral:rRNA from 1 species
CCUACGGGAGGCAGCAGUGAGGAAUAUUGGUCAAUGGACGCAAGUCUGAACCAGCCAUGCCGCGUGCAGGAAGACGGCUCUAUGGGUUGUAAACUGCUUUUGUACGGGGGUAAACUCCGAUACGCGUAUCUUUCUGAAUGUAUCAUACGAAUAAGGAUCGGCUAACUCCGUGCCAGCAGCCGCGGUAAUACGGAGGAUUCAAGCGUUAUCCGGAUUUAUUGGGUUUAAAGGGUGCGUAGGCGGUCGGAUAAGUUAGAGGUGAAAUCCCGAGGCUCAACUUCGGAAUUGCCUCUGAUACUGUGUGUCUAGAGAGUAGUUGCGGUAGGCGGAAUGUAUGGUGUAGCGGUGAAAUGCUUAGAGAUCAUACAGAACACCGAUUGCGAAGGCAGCUUACCAAGCUACGUCUGACGCUGAGGCACGAAAGCGUGGGGAGCAAACAGGAUUAGAUACCCCAGUAGUC